rnacentral:rRNA from 1 species
AUUGAACGCUGGCGGCAGGCCUAACACAUGCAAGUCGAGCGAGCGGAGGACGGGUGAGUAAUGUAGGGGGACUGACCGAUAGAGGGGGAUAACUAAUGGAAACGGUGGCUAAUACCGCAUACUAUCGGAUAACCCAUAUGGGAUUAGCUAGUAGGAGGGGUAAAGGCUCACCUAGGCGACGAUCUCUAGCUGGUUUGAGAGGAUGAUCUGCCACGCUGGGAGUGAGACACGGCCCAGACUCCUCCGGAGGCAGCAGUGGGGAAUAUUGCACAAUGGGCGCAAGCCUGAUGCAGCCAUACCGCGUGUAUGAAGAAGGCCUUAGGGUUGUAAAGUACUUUCAGCGGGGAGGCGUUACCCGCAGAAGAAGCACCGGCUAACUCCGUGCCAGCCGCCGCGGUAAUUC